AACGUAGGAGACAAACGUUAUCCGGAGUUACUGGGCGUAAAGGGCGUGUAGGUGGUUUCGUAAGUCUGGCGUGAAAUUUUUCGGCUUAACCGGGAAAGGUCGUCGGAUACUGCGGAGCUAGAGGACGGUAGAGGCGUGUGGAAUUCCGGGUGUAGUGGUGAAAUGCGUAGAGAUCCGGAGGAACACCAGCGGCGAAGGCGACACGCUGGGCCGUACCUGACACUGAUGCGCGACAGCAUGGGGGAGCAAACAGG
rnacentral:rRNA from 1 species